rnacentral:rRNA from 1 species
UGCAAACUCCGAAUACCAGUAAGUACUAUCCGGGAGACACACGGCGGGUGCUAACGUCCGUCGUGGAGAGGGAAACAACCCAGACCGCCAGCUAAGGUCCCAAAGUAUUGCUAAGUGGGAAACGAUGUGGGAAGGCUCAGACAGCUAGGAUGUUGGCUUAGAAGCAGCCAUCAUUUAAAGAAAGCGUAAUAGCUCACUAGUCGAGUCGGCCUGCGCGGAAGAUGUAACGGGGCUAAGCAAUACACCGAAGCUGCGGCAAUAUCUUUUAGAUAUUGGGUAGGGGAGCGUUCUGUAAGCCGUUGAAGGUGAAUCGUAAGGUUUGCUGGAGGUAUCAGAAGUGCGAAUGCUGACAUGAGUAACGACAAAGGGGGUGAAAAACCUCCUCGCCGGAAGACCAAGGGUUCCUGUCCAACGUUAAUCGGGGCAGGGUGAGUCGACCCCUAAGGUGAGGCCGAAAGGCGUAAUCGAUGGGAAACGGGUUAAUAUUCCCGUACUUCUGACUAUUGCGAUGGGGGGACGGAGAAGGCUAGGUGGGCCAGGCGACGGUUGUCCUGGUUCAAGUGCGUAGGCUUGAGA